GUCAUAUUUUGGCUAUGUUUGUGUUCGAUCAUACAGUAUAAUAAGUCGGUAGUUGCCCGGGAAUGGAUUUUUUUUUAUUUCUUGUGAUUCUUUGCAGUGGCGUAGCCAAGGUUGAAAUGAUGUGGAUGCUUUCGCCGAGCGGAGCUUGGCGAAAAUAUUUUUGGACUAUUUUAUGCACAAAAUUAUAUUUUUUCAGACAUUGUUCCUGUAAGCAUAUGUACUCCCCUAGAAUCCAACAGUGGUUAGAUUUUUGUUUAAUUUCAAAAUACCCACCAGUUCAUAUAAUUAUAUUUCAAACAAAAUUUAAAUGUUUUCUCGAAAUUCUCGAAAUUGAAUGUAAUUCCUAAUUUGUUUAUUUGAUGUAAAAGUUUCCCACCAAUCUUAUAUUUGACAUCUCUCAUAAACGGCCCCAUCACAGCGGCACUUCUGUAUAAACAUGAUAAAUAAACUGAAGUGAUCCCCUUUCCUAGCAUUUCUAAAAAAAAAUGGCCUUAUUACAUCGGCACUUCGGAAUAUAAGAACUGAAGUGAACCCAUUAACGCGUCGUACGGGACAUCAUCGAAAUACCUGGUGUCCGUCCAUCCGGUCUUGUUUGCACUCUCAUGUGUACAAUUCUUGCCAGAUUUUUAUAUCAUCAGCAAUGACAAUUUCGAAAAUAAGUCAUAAGCUUUGACCUUUUGAAAUAUAAAUUAUACGGAACUCCCAUUGUAUUUUCUCUGAAGCUUUUAUUUCUCCAUUAAAAAUAAAAGGAAAAGGAAAAACAUUAUUUUUUAUUAGUUAUUGCCCUUGUUCCUUGGUUACAUAAAAUAUGUGCAAUGCAGGGGACAAAGGCAUUUUGUUCUUUUAUUGAAAAUAAAAUUAAUACGUGGACCUAGAUAGAAACUUGAAUUUACUGAUAAGCCUAAGAAUGAUCACACUCUAUAACAGAUUAGUUUUUUUUCACGUCGUCUUUCAUGUCACAGGAAACGAUAUCAGGAUAUGGUGGUUUAGUUGUCAGUGUUGUUAGUCAGUUGAAGAAGCCAUCACUCCGCUAGGCUCAAUUUCAGAUGAAACAUGUCCGAGGAUCUGUGCAUCAUCCUCUGCACUGGUCGUAGCCGACGACGUAGUCUUUUUACGAAAAAAAAUAGAGAACACUUUUCUGCGAUUUAUCCAUUUUGUUUUAUUACAUGCACUUAAUUAUCCUUAAUAAAAGACCACGCAUACUUCAUCGGAAAUAAUUGGAUGUUAUCCUCAUAUCUUAACCCUUGUUACAUACGGAUACCUCCGAGUUUAACUGCUGCGAACAUAUCUUUAUUUAUAUUUUUUCCCUGUCAAAAUGAUGUGGAUGCUUGAGCAUCUGAGCAUACAUGCAAGCUACGCCACUGCU
rnacentral:lncRNA from 1 species